GGUGACGCCUGCAGAGGUCGCCGAGGUCCUGAUGAGGAGCGACGACGACGCUGAUGUUGCCCUCCAUGAUCUUGUCGAGCUUCUGAAGUUAAAGAAGAAAGAUGCCACUGAGAUGAAGACUGAAAGUAAGCCGGCGGAGGAGCAGAAAGACCAAGACUGAAAGUAAGCAGGCAGAAGAGAAGAAAGAUGGCGAUGAGAUCAAGACUGAAAGUGUGCAGGUGGAGGAGAAAAAAGAUGACAACGAGGUGGUGCUGAAGAAUGAAUUCGUAGAAAACGAAAGCAGCUAGGUGUGCGGAAACUGACGGUGACCAGCGACAAUGCACGUAUCAUGUAGAUAGGUCACACAGGAGAUCCAUUGGAACAUAUGUUGAUCAUUUUGACAGCUAAUAGCAUUACUUUUUUUUGGAGUAGUUCGGUGCACCUAUAUUUAACUUAACAGAGUGUGCUUCUAUAAAUAACUAUGUAAGUGCUGUUGCAACAAGUUAUAUCGAUCCAAACUUGACAUCUUGCAUAAGAUAUUGGCAAGAUGAUGCUAGCUACUGACAAGCAAUGAUCGACACUCUACUUAAUUAGCCAGAUAGAUAAAGUAGUAUGAGUAGUAGGAAUUUCAUCACGUCUCCCCAAACCAAAAGGACACGCGUAGCUGUUGACGUAUAAUGUGUUGCCUAGUCUUUUUCAUCAGAUCGGUCUUUUAGUUGCAUUGGCUAGAGCAUGCACUUCUACAGUAGCCAGCCACCAGAGUCACGAAGCAUAUAGCUGCGACGGCGUACCUCGGUCGGUCUUUGGUCAGAGCAGGCCGUGCGUGGAAUUCCAGCAUGCACGCGGAGUUGAAUGACGGUUGAAUGAAGUUUGACAAACUAAAGUGCGCAUAAUGUAUACAUAAUACACUGCAGCACACGCACCGACUCACCCCAGCACAAGUAUAGUCUAUAGAAAGAGCAGGACGCAAGGAGGACGCACCUGCAUAUUCUUCUUCUGCUUGACCAAGCAAGAAACUUGGAUGCCAAGGGAGCAAAGUAGCUUUCCAUUCCACGGGCGCUUUACGAAUCACCCCAGCCAGCAAAAGAAAAAGGAAAGAAUCAAUGAAUGACUAGCUCAAAAUAUUGUCAUUGACAAGAAAAUACAAGUGAGUGCUCGAAAAUUUAGCCAAGAAACAAUCAAUCGAAUGCUCUGCCAGGAGGGCGAUUUACCAUAUGGAGAUUAUUGCAGAGGAAUUAAUGAAAUAAUUAAUCACUACAUCUAUUAUGUACUUAUAUAUAAUAGAUGUAGUGAUUAAUUAUUUCAUUAAUUCAGACAUGUAGUGGUUUCAAGUUUGACCAACAUGCCUGGUCUAUCCAAUAUUAUUCAGCCAUUUUCCUUUGAUCAGCCAGUCAACCAAACACCCAGACCCAGUGCGCAACACGAAUUCGGCCAUCUACCUGAAACGAGACGUCAGAAUUCUUUUUAGAGUCAAUUACAUCGGUGGUGCUAUAACUUGGCGCAAACGGUCACUUUGGUGCUAGAAGUUGUGGCAUACAUUAAAGUGGUGCAAAAACUUGGCUUUGACCUGCAAAUACAGUGCUUAUCUCAUUUUGCAUACGGAACCGGCGCUGACUAGGCGCAUGGGCCCGUUGUCAACCCCUAGACCAGGAGAAGAGGGUGCGUGACUUAUUUUUUCCAAAAACACCCUCGAAAUAUAUGUUUUUCACAAAAAAAACCCUACUGGCGUGGGAGAGGAGCCACUUUUUUCACCUCUAUGAUCAGUGGGUCCAACCUGUCAGGUGAGAGUGAAAAUUAAACAAAACUGGAGACCCUAGGUCUCGAACCCACAAAAGAGACGUAAGUAUCAAGCUGGCUAAUCCACUCCAACACUUCACGUUCCCAUGUAAAUAAUGGAUGAACUUAUAUGUAUUUCAACGGGCUGCUGAUACUGCGGCCCAUUUUACACCAGUUCGGUAUUUUCUAUUUUAUUUGUAAAAAUAUAUGUAAACUAUAAUCUCAGAACAAAAAUAAAGUUUUAAUAUUUAUGUGUAUAAAUAUUUUACAUACAAAUGAAAAACUUUUUUAUAAAAACUGUUCACGUAUUAUAUAGAAAAAAUCAUAUGUUUGAAAUAAAAUUUGUGAGUUACAAAAAGAUUGUAUGAUUUUAAAUAAUAAAAAAUGUUAUUAAAAUUAAAAUUCAGAAAAUUAUUUUAGUUAUACAAACAUUACAAUCAUUUGCAUGUUUGUAUAGUUCAAAUUUUGUAUAAUUAAAGAUAUUUAUAAUGUAAAAACUAAAAUGUUGAUAUUAAUAUUAAUUUUUAAUACUUUGAGUAUAAGCCGUGAGUGUGUGAUAUUUUUUAUUGAUUAAACAUUUUUCCAUAUUAACUAAAUAUUUUUUGUAUAAUACACGGCUGUAUAUUUAGUUUUUUAUUUAAUAAUCAUUGUUUCUAUGUCUAAUAUUUAUAACACACAAAUAUUUGAACGUAAUUUUUAUUACUUAGGUUUUAGAAAAAUAAAUAAAAAACAAACCGGUGAAAAUUGAGCCACAGUAUCAACAGCCCAUUUAAGUUCCACAUGCAUAGUGGUUAAAUACAUAUAACGUCCUUAUCCAAAGUGAACAUGGUAGCGUGGUUGGUGCAUUAGCUAGCCUGCUUGCAUGCUAGGUGUUGAUUGUUGGUUCGAUUCUGUGCAGCCACCCUUUUAGUUUAAUUUUCACUCUCUCCCGACAGGCGGGUCCUACUGGUCUUAGAGGUAUAAAAAGUAAAUACCAUGUCAGAUUUUUUCUAAAAAAUAUAUUUCAAGGGUAUUUCUGGAAAAAAACAAGUCACACACCCCUUCUCCUGGUCCGGUGGCUGACAGCGGGCCACAUGCGCCUAGUCAGCGUUCAUUCCGUAUACAAGCGAGAUAAGCACUAUAUUUGCACCUCGAAACCAAGUUUUUGCACCACUUUAAUGUAUGCCACAACUUGUAGCACCAUACUGACCAUUUGCGCCAAGUUCUAGCACCACUAUUGUAAUUGACUCUUCUUUUUAUAUCAAAAGUUAGCUCGGAUACAAGUUAAUUACUGGUAAUUUGGCAAAAGAAUCAAGACGCAAAAGAACACGUGCUCCGACGUGGACGGUCAGCAUGAUGGCAACGUAGCCUUGUCAGUUCCCCAAACAGACAGCAGUAGCCAUCCAGCACCCAUAUAUGUGGCACCUACAUAUACUCCAUGCAUCAUCAUGAUGCAGAGGCCGGGGGUAUACCUCCAUUUCAAAAAUAAAAUAAAAUAAAUACUUCAUUUUUUCAUUUGCACGACGUUGACCCGUCUUGGUCCGUGCGCGUGACCUAGCUAGCGCGGAAUGGAAUUCCAGCACGCGCGCAAGCACGCGGCAGCCAACGCGGAUGGACGGUGAAGUGGGUUUUUUUUUUUUUUUGACAAACAAAAGGCAUAGUGCUACCAACCGCAGCACAAGUAGACAGACACAAGAGAAAAAUGGCAAGUGGUAGUAGAAGAAGCAGUAGGCCAAAAGGAAGAUAUGGACACAGCACAGCACCUGCGUUUUCGGCUCUGUCAUCUUCCCCGCGGCCGCGAGGGAGGAAAAAGUUACGCAAUCCCGAUCAAGAAACAAGCUUGGAUGCCAAGGAAACAAGCACAGUACGUUACACACCGCUCGCUCGCUUUAUGAUGAAUUCAGUAGGUUAUUCAGAUGCAAAAUGCUCGUGAAUUAUCAAAGCACCAAUUUUAAUGCCUAAAAAUAUAUUAUAUACUAAUACUACAACCAUAACAUCAACAAUCUACCUUUCUAGGUGGGAUUAAUUAAUUGAUGUGGAAGGAAGCCAGUCCAGAUUUGCUUAGUGAUGUUGAUGCUACUAACAUUUUCUAACAAAGACCUCUCUUCUUCUGUGUUAGGUGUGAUUUGGAACCUGCAAGGAAGACCACGCCAAGUCCAUUUCUUAUUCCCUUUACUAAGAUAAGAGGAAGAAACACCUCAAUCUGUCAAUCCCACCCACCCCGCACCCCAAUCCAUCUCGCCCAUAAAAACACCACUCAUCCCCAAACCUCAAUUCAUUCAACACACAUCAGGAACAGAGAGGAAACAGAGCCCCCAACCCACCCCACCCUCACACAGAAAAGAACAAACAUACAAGAGAGGAGGAGCAACAGGGAGCCAUGGCGCCGUCCUACGAUAAGACCAUUGCCACUGCGGCCUCCCUCGCGGCAUCCCUGAUGCUCGUCCGCAGCCUCGCGAACGAGCUGCUGCCGUCCGAGCUGCGUGACGCGCUGUCUUCAGCCCUCGCCAGCCUCCGCUCGCGCAUGACGUGGCAGCACACCAUCGUCAUCAAGGAGAUCGAGGGCUGGUGCAGAAAUUGUGUCUACGAUGCCGUCAAUGCCUACCUUGCCACGCGAACCAGCGCCAGCCUCUCCAUGCAGCGCCUGCGCGUCAGCAGCGCCGGCGAAUCUGAAAAGAUGGUUGUCAGCAUGGAGGCAGGCGAGGAGAUGGCAGAUGUGUAUCAAGGAGCGGAGUUCAAGUGGUGCCUGGUCACUCGCGAGGUCAAGGGCGACUCGGACAGCGUUGGCGACGGGGCCCAUGAGGUCAGGUCCUAUGAGGUGAGCUUCCACAAGAGGCACAAGGAGAAGGCGCUCAAGGAGUACCUGCCCUUCAUCGUCGCCGCCGCCAAGGCCAUCAACCACCAGGAGCGGAGCCUCGACAUCUACAUGAACGAGCACGGCAACGAGUGGUCCUCCAUCGUCCUCCAGCACCCCUCCACCUUCGACACGCUCGCCAUGGACAUGAAGCAGAAGCGGGCCAUUGUCGAUGACCUCGACAGGUUCACCAAGAGGAAGGACUACUACAGGAGGAUCGGCAAGGCGUGGAAGCGCGGGUACCUCCUAUAUGGCCCUCCAGGUACCGGCAAGUCCAGCCUCAUCGCCGCCAUCGCCAACCACCUCAGGUUCGACAUCUACGACCUCGAGCUCACUGGGGUCGACUCCAACUCCGACCUCAGGAAGCUUCUCGUCGGGAUGACCAACCGGUCCAUUCUCGUAGUUGAGGACAUUGACUGCACCAUCGAGCUGAAGCAGCGGGAGGAAGACGAUGAGGAGCACUCCAAGUCCAACUCUGCAGCAAAGAAGAAGGCAGAAGACAAGGUAACAUUGUCUGGGCUGCUCAAUUUUGUUGAUGGCUUGUGGUCGACGAGUGGGGAGGAAAGGAUCAUCAUCUUCACAACCAACUACAAGGAGCGUCUCGACCCGGCACUCCUGCGGCCUGGCAGGAUGGACAUGCACAUACACAUGGGGUACUGCACCACGGAGGCCUUCCGGAUCCUUGCCAACAACUACCAUUCCGUCGACUACCAUGCCACCUAUCCAGAGAUCGAGGCGCUGAUCCAGGAGGUGACGGUGACGCCUGCAGAGGUCGCCGAGGUUCUGAUGAGGAACGACGACACUGAUGUUGCCCUCCAUGAUCUUGUCAAGCUCCUAGAGUUAAAGAAGAAAGAGGCCACUGAGAUCAAGACUGAAAGUAAGCAGGCGGAGGAGCAGAAAGACGGCACUGAGAAGAUCAAUACUGAAAGUAAGCAGGCGGAAGAGAAGAAAGAUGGCGAUGAGAUCAAGACUGAAAGUGUGCAGGUGGAGGAGAAAAAAGAUGACAACGAGGUGGUGCUGAAGAAUGAGUUGACAGAAAACGGAAGCGGCUAGGAGUGCAGAAGCUGAUUGUGACCAGAGACUGAGCAUAGUACUACGUAGAUAGGUCCUACAGGAGAUACAUAUGUUGUGAUCAUUUUGACAACUAACAACAUUGCAUUUUUUGGAUUUGUUCGGCGCACUUGUAUUUAACUUAAACACAGUGCUUCUAAAUAAUUGUGCAAGUGCUGUUACAUAUAUGCAAAUUUGACAUCUUGCAUAAGAUAUUGGCCAACAAAGCCAUGAUGAUGAACAAACGAGGCAUGUGGGUUGUGGCCCAUACUUGUCCACCAGAACAGAACGAUCUUCAUCUUCACAGAACAAGAUGGUGCUACUGAUAAGGAAUGAUCGACACUCUACUUGAUUAGCCAGAUAGAUAAAGUAGUAUGAGUCGUAGUAAUCUCAUCACUAGCCCCAAGAGGAUACGAGUAGCCAGCCACUGGAGUCAGGACGCAUAUAGUUGCGACGACAUCACCUCGGUCCUCGGCGUACGUCGACCGGUCUUUGGUCAGAGCAGGCCGUGCGUGGAAUUCCAGCAUGCACGCGGAACUGAAUGACCGUGGAAUGAAGUUUGACAAACUAAAGCUAGGCGUAAUGCAUACAUGAUACAGCGCAGCACACGCACCGACCAUAGCACAAGUGGCAGUAGUAAGGCGGCUAGCUAGAGAAAGAGUAGGCCGCAAGGAGGACGCACCUGCAUAUUUUCUUCUUCUGCUGCUGCUGGCUGCUGCUGCUCUCGAGAAGCCAAGUGAAAAAGCUUGGAUGCCAAGAAAGCAAAGUAGCUUUCCACACGCGCUUUGCGAAUCUGGCAAAAAGAGAACCCUGGCCAGGCAGCAGCACUUGUAAUUGGCAAAAGAAAAAGAAAAGAAUCAAUGAGUGACUAGCUCAAAACAUUGUCAUUCGCAAGAUGCAAGCGAGUGCUCGCUAAUUUAGCCAAGAAUCAAUCAACCGAAUGCUCUGCCAGGAUGACAAAUAAUGAAUAAUGAAUGAAAUAAUUAACCAAUACAUCUAUAUGUAUGUAUAUAUGCAAGUUGUGUAGCAAUGUGAUGUUACCUUUUGCUUUUGGUAAGGUUGAACAACAUGCCUGGUCUAUGCAUUAUUCAGACAUCUUCCUUUCGUCAGCCAGUCAACCACGCACCCAGUGCACAACACGAAUUUGGCCAUCUACCGGGAACGAGUCGACAGAAAAAAUAAAAAAUAGCUCGGACACAUGCUAAUUACUCACUCUGUAAAGAAAGAAAUAUAAGAGCGUUUAAAUCAAGUGAUCAGUUGUAAUUUAGCAAAACAACAUGUUAUAACUGCCAACUACAGACAAAUUCCAGAAGAUUUAUGUACUACGUGUGUAAGCAAGUUGCCAAGUAAUGCCAAUGUGAUGCUACAGUUUACUAAGUAGGGCCACAUGAUGCCACCAUUUUGCUAAGCAACAGGCCAUGCGAUGCCUACCUUUUUGCUAAGCAAGGCCUCACUGGUGAAGACCAAGCCAAAUCUCUUGUUCACCACCCACCCCACCCCAAGACAUCACUCAGUCGGUUCACCACCCACCCCACCCCACCCCACACUCCUAUAAAAAGCUUACCCCCAGCUCCCCACCCAAUUCAACACACACCAUUAUUUCCUCACACCCCUGUUCCACAUCAGGAACAGAGAGGAGGAAAACAGGAACAGAGAGGAGGAAGACAGCCCCCAACCAAACCAAGCACUCCAUCCACCCCCUUCACACACACACAGAAAAAGAGUACAGGAAGGCCAUGGCGCCGUCGUACGACAAGACCAUCGCCACGGCAGCCUCGCUCGCGGCGUCCCUGAUGCUCGUCCGCAGCCUCGCAAACGAGCUGCUGCCGUCCGAGGUGCGCGACGCGCUGUCCUCAGCCCUCGCCAGCCUCCGCUCGCGCAUGACGUGGCAGCACACCAUCGUCAUCGAGGAGACCGAGGGCUGGUCCAGCAACCGCGUCUACAACGCCGUCAAGGCCUACCUGGCCACGCGCAUCAACGCCAACAUCAACAUGCAGCGCCUGCGCGUCAGCAGCGGCGACGACGCUGAGAAGAUGGUCGUCAGCAUGGAGGCCGGGGAGGAGAUGGCAGAUUUGUACGAAGGAGCGGAGUUCAAGUGGUGCCUGGUCACCCGCGAGGUUAGUGGUGACCCGAACAACGGCGGCGGCGGGGCCCGGGAGAUCAGGUCCUACGAGGUGAGCUUCCACAGGCGGCACAAGGAGAAGGCGCUUAAGGAGUACCUCCCGUUCAUCGUCGCCACGGCCAAGGCCAUCAAGGACCAGGAGAGGAGCCUUAGCAUCUACAUGAACGAGCGCUACGACGAGUGGUCCCCGAUUGGCCUCCAGCACCCCUCCACCUUCGACACCCUUGCCAUGGAUCACAAGCAGAAACAGUCGAUUGUCGACGACCUUAACAGGUUCAUCAAGAGGAAGGACUACUACAGGAGGAUCGGCAAGGCAUGGAAGCGCGGGUACCUGCUGUACGGCCCUCCAGGUACCGGCAAGUCCAGCCUCAUCGCCGCCAUUGCCAACCACCUCAGGUUCGACAUCUACGACCUCGAGCUCACCGGGGUCGACUCCAACUCCGACCUUAGGAGGCUUCUUGUCGGAAUGACCAACCGGUCCAUUCUCGUGGUUGAGGACAUCGACUGCACCAUCGAACUGAAGCAGCGGGAGGAAGAAGACGAGGAGCAAUCCAAGUCCAGUUCUACAGAAAAGAAGAAGGCAGAAGACAAGGUAAACUUUGCAGUCAGAAUAAAUGCCUCUCUGCUUCUCCUUCAACUUUUGACAGCUUUCUUCCUUACCUAUGCUGAUAACAAACUAAUUUGGUUGCUGUCUGCAUAACAGGUCACACUGUCUGGGCUGCUCAAUUUUGUCGAUGGCUUGUGGUCGACAAGUGGGGAGGAAAGGAUCAUCAUCUUCACGACCAACUACAAGGAGCGUCUUGACCCGGCACUUCUGCGGCCUGGCAGGAUGGACAUGCACAUCCACAUGGGGUACUGCACCACGGAGGCUUUCCGAAUUCUUGCCAACAACUACCAUUCCAUCGACUACCAUGCCACCUAUACAGAGAUCGAGAAGCUGAUCGAGGAGGUGACGGUGACGCCUGCAGAGGUUGCCGAGGUCCUGAUGAGGAACGACGACACUGAUGUUGCGCUCCAUGAUCUUGUCAAGCUCCUAAAGUUAAAGAAGAAAGAUGCCUCUGAGAUCAAGACUGAAAGUAAGAAGACGGAGAAGAAAGAUGCCACUGAUGACAUCAAGAUUGAGGGUACGCAGGUGGAUGGGAAGAAAGAUGGUGGUGAGAUCAAGACUGGAAGUGUGCAGGUGGAGGAGAAGAAAGAUGACAAAGAGGUGGUGGUAAAGAAUGUUCUUACAGAAAACGGAAGUAGUUAAGAGUGCGGAAGUUAACGGUGACGAAAGAGUGCGCUUACCAUGUAGAUAGAUCCUACAGGAGAUCCAUUGCAGCAUACAUAUGUUGUGAUCAUUUUGACAACUAAAAACAUUGCAUUUUUGUAGUUCGAUGCAUCUGUACUUUUUAACAGUGUGUUUCUAAAUAAUUUGUAAGUACAGUUGCAACAAGUUACAUAUAUGCAACGUAGACGUUCUGCCUAAGAUAUUAGCCAACAGAGCCAUGUGACCCGACACACAGCCACCCCUUGCUGAAUGCGGAGGAGGAAAGACACAGGCAUAAUCACUUGAUGCAGAGGCUGGGUGUAAUCCUCCUUUUCAAAAAAAAAAAAAUUUACCAGCUAGACUACAAGAUGAUGGAGAACAAGCUAGAAUAUAUUUUUCUGGGACUAGAAUUGAUGUGCCUGUGAAAACAAAGAACACCGUUGUAGAUACCCAACUAAUUGGUAGUGCUUAGCCAGAGACUGGUUGCAGGACGGACAUAAACCCAAUAAUAUAAACUUGAUGACAUGCAGAAAAUUAGCAUAUAGUGCUCUUAGAUUAUCCCCCUAGCUAUGAAGUGAAUUGAGCAGACUAAUAUGAGGAAAAUGGAAGUAUUCUCUUGGAAUAUAGGAACUGACUGACGUUCACUACGAACCAUCGGGUGACGCAAAAAAGAAGAAGAAAAAAACACGUGCUCCGAUCUGGACGGUCGACACGAUGGUAACGUAAUUUCAUCGUCACUUUCUCCAGAGACACCAGUAGCCAUCCAUCCAGCCACUGGAGUCAUCCAUGAGGCAUAUAUUUGGCACUUAUUGUUUCAGUUACACGACGUGGAUGGGCUAGCGUGGAAUGGGAAGUAGUAAUUGACAAACAAAAGCAUAGCAACGGAGUGGAAAGUAAUGACAUGCAAAAAUCACAGCACUACAUACAAGAAAAUGACAGGUAGUAGAAGGAGUAGGCAGCAAGGAUGAUAUAUGCAACAGCACCUGCGUUUUCUGUCAUGUUGUGUCUCGUGUCUCGUCCACCCUCCAUCCAGGAAGGAGCACAGCAUCCUCUGCUUCUUUCGAGAAAACUGAAUACACUGCAGGAAAAAGACUUGCGCGACACAACUUGAAUGCCAAGGAAGCAGAGUACAUAGCACACACCACUCGCUGUACGACUUCCCGCGGUCCAUCUGAAAAGAAUCCACGGAAAAAAAUAUCACAUUCAGUAGGUGAUUCAGAUGCAAAUGCUCGUUAACUACCAAAGAACCAAUUGAUGCCUCAGAGCAUAUACCACUAGCCUAGUGCACUCGGAAUAGUAAGUGCCAGUUUCAGAGUGCAUCAACAAUCUACCGUGUAUGCACACAAGGGGAAUUAAUUAAUAUGGAAGGAAGCUACUCCAGUUGCUUAGUGAUGUGAUGCUACUCUGCUACCUUUUCCAGUACCCACGCAUACGGCAGCCAACACGCAUUGACGGUGGAACGGAAUGUAGUAAUCACAAACAAAGGCACAGUUCCGUAGGCAAAAGUAGCAGUAGAAGAAAUAGGCAGCAGCUGAAUUUUCAGCUGUGUCUACCUCAGCAACUUUAAGUGAUUCAGAUGCAAAUGCUCAUUAACUAGCAAAGAAUCAUCUUUUUUCAAAAAAAGAGAGAAAAGUAUCAAUUUAUGCUUCAAAAUAUGUACUACUACACUCCCAGAACACCACAUGGUUGGUAAUUACAGGCUGCAUGAAUAAUCUGGGGGAAUUAAUUAGUGUCCAAGGAAGCUAAUUGCUUAUUAGUGAUGUGGCGCUACUACCUUUUUCUAACCCCUCGGCCUCGCUGCAAAGUGCGAUUGGAACCUGGAAGACCAUUUCUUAUUAUUCAUUCACACCUCUUCCUUUCAUAGGAAGAAACACAAGUCAGUCAGUCAGUCAACCCCACCCCACACUCCACUCCAUCCAUUGUUGCCUAUAAAAGCACCACUCAUCCCCUCAGCUCAUUCAACACACUCUUCCACACCAGGAACACGGAAGAACAGCCUCAUUUCCCCACACCACUCUCCCACAUCAACAACAGACAGAACCAGAGCCCCCAACCCACCCACCCACCGUAACACAAGGAAAAACAGAGCGUAAGAGACCUUAAGAGAGGCAUGGCGCCGUCCUACGACAAGACCAUCGCCACGGCGGCCUCCCUCGCGGCGUCCCUCAUGCUCGUCCGCAGCCUCGCGAGCGAGCUGCUGCCGGCCGAGGUGCGCGGGGCCCUCUCCGCGGCGAUCGCCGGCCUCCGCUCGCGCAUGACAUGGCAGCACACCAUCGUCAUCGAGGAGACCGAGGGCUGGUCCAGCAACCGCGUCUACAACGCCGUCAAGGCCUACCUGGCCACGCGCAUCAACGCCAAUAUCAACAUGCAGCGCCUGCGCGUCAGCAGCGCCGGCGAACCUGAGAAGAUGGUCGUCAGCAUGGAGGCGGGCGAGGAGAUGACAGAUGUGUAUCAAGGAGCGGAGUUCAAGUGGUGCCUGGUCACCCGCGAGGUCAGUGGCGACCCGAACAACGGCGGUGUCGGUGCCCGGGAGAUCAGGUCCUACGAGGUGAGCUUCAACAAGAGGCACAAGGAGAAGGCCCUGAAAGAGUAUCUCCCAUUCAUCGUCACCACGGCUAAGGCCAUCAAGGACCAGGAGAGGAGCCUCAGCAUCUACAUGAACGAACGCUACGACGAGUGGUCCCCAAUUGACCUCCAACAUCCCUCCACGUUUGACACGCUAGCCAUGGACCAGAAGCAGAAGCAGUCAAUUGUCGACGACCUCGACAGGUUCAUCAAGAGGAAAGAGUACUACAGGAAGAUCGGCAAGGCGUGGAAGCGCGGGUACCUGUUGUACGGCCCGCCGGGCACCGGCAAGUCCAGCCUCAUCGCCGCCAUUGCCAACCACCUCAGGUUUGACAUUUACGACCUCGAGCUGACCGGGGUCAAUUCCAACUCGGACCUCAGGAGGCUUCUCGUCGGGAUGACCAACCGGUCCAUUCUCGUUGUUGAGGACAUCGACUGCACCAUUGAACUGGAGCAGCGGGAGGAAGAUGACGAGGAGGAUUCCAAAUCCAAUUCUACAGAAAAGAAGGCACAAGACAAGGUAAACUUUGCAGUCAGAAUGAACACCUUAUGAGAAACCUCUCUGCUUCUCCUUAUUAUUCGACAGCUUUCUUUCUUACCAUAUGCUGAUGACAAUUUUGGUUGUUGUCUGCACAGGUCACAUUGUCUGGGCUGCUCAAUUUUGUAGAUGGCUUGUGGUCGACAAGUGGGGAGGAAAGGAUCCUCAUCUUCACGACCAAUUACAAGGAGCGUCUCGACCCAGCACUUCUGCGGCCUGGCAGGAUGGACAUGCACAUCCACAUGGGGUACUGCACCACAGAGGCCUUACAGAUCCUUGCCAAUAACUACCAUUCCAUUGACUACCAUGUCACCUAUCCUGAGAUUGAGGCGUUGAUCGAGGAGGUCACGGUGACGCCUGCAGAGGUCGCCGAGGUUCUGAUGAGGAGCGAUGACACUGAUGUUGCCCUCCAUGAUCUUGUCGAGCUCCUGAAAUUGAAGAAGAAAGAUGCCAUUGAGAUCAAGACUGGAAGUAAGCAGGCGGAGGAGAAUAAAGACGCCAAUGAGAUCAAGACCGGAAGUAAGCAGGCAGAGGAGAAAGACACCAAUGAGAUCAAGACAGAAAAUAUGGAAGUGGACGGGAAGAAAUAUGGCAAUGAGAUCAAGACUGAAAGUGUGCAGGUAGAGGAGAAGAAAGAUGACAAAGAAGCGGUGGUGAAGAAUGAGCUCACAGAAAACGGAAGCGGCUAGGAGUGCGGAAGCUGACGGUGACCAGCGACUACGCGUACCCUGUACAUAGGUCCUAAAAUAAAGGAGACCCAUUGGAACGUAUGUUGAUCAUUUUGACAACUAAUAGGAGUAGUGAGGCACACCAGGGCUUGAGACAGUGUGCUUCUAAAUAAUUUUGUAAGUACUGUUGCAGAAAGUUACAUAUAUGCACCUUAACAUCUUGCAUAAGAUAUUGCCCAACAGAGCUAUGCGACGCAGAGAUUACGGAGAGAACAAGCCAGGAUAAAAUUUGAGAUUGCUAGAACUGAUAUGCCAGAGUAAACAAAGAACACCGUUGCAUAUACCCAACUAGUCGGUAGUGCUUAGCCAGAGACUGGCUGCAGGAUGGACAAACCCAACGAUUUUCUUGAUGACAUGCAGAAUAUUAGCAUAUCACAUUAUCCCCCAAGGCCCAAGCUGUGUGGUGGAAGGAGCAGAGUAAUCUGAGCAAAAAGGAA
rnacentral:lncRNA from 1 species